CCAAUGGCUUCAUUGUAUUGAUACUUGGUAUGGAAACUUGCUAAGUGUUAACUUCCAAAUUCAUAGAAACCUUGGAAUCAAAAAAGGGCAAUCCUGAGCCAGUUUCAUGUUUUCAAAAGGGAUUCUCAAACUAGAAUACAAAGGAUAAUGAUAGGUGUAGAGCCUAAAUGGAAGCUAUUCUAAUGGAUCAAGUUAAUUACGUUGUAUUGUUAGUGGAAGUAAUUUUAAUUCUAAAUUAGAGAAAGAGGG
rnacentral:ncRNA from 1 species